AAGUCGUAACAAGGUUUCCGUAGGUGAACCUGCGGAAGGAUCAUUCACAAUGAGUGUUUAAUGGCACUCUAAAUCCAUUACCCACCUUGUGUGCAAUGUCGAGGGGGAGAGGAGGGAACAUUCUUUUCUUCUCCCCUUUUCAUACAUACCAAAAAACUUUUAAUUAUCAGUCUACAUCUAUUUAGAGUAUAAAAAACUCGAAAUACAACUUUCAACAACGGAUCUCUUGGAUCUC
rnacentral:misc_RNA from 1 species